GACGAACGCUGGCGGCGCGCCUAACACAUGCAAGUCGAACGGAGAUGAUAAAAGACUUGCUUUGAUCAUCUUAGUGGCGGACGGGUGAGUAACACGUGAGCAACCUGCCUUUCAGAGGGGGAGUAACGUUUGGAACGAACGCUAAUACCGCAUAAUGUAUACGGAUGGCAUCGUCUGUAUACCAAAGGAGCAAUCCGCUGAAAGAUGGGCUCGCGUCCGAUUAGCUAGAUGGUGAGGUAACGGCCCACCAUGGCGACGAUCGGUAGCCGGACUGAGAGGUUGACCGGCCACAUUGGGACUGAGACACGGCCCAGACUCCUACGGGAGGCAGCAGUGAGGGAUAUUGGGCAAU
rnacentral:rRNA from 1 species